GAUGAACGCUGGCGGCGUGCCUAAUACAUGCAAGUCGAGCGAAGAGGGGACGUGUGAGCAACACGUUGACAACCUCCUAUAAGACUGGGAUAACUUCGGGAAACCGGAGCUAAACCGGAAACUUAUAGAUGGAUCCGCGCUGCAUUAGCUAGUUGGUAAGGUAACGGCUUACCAGGGCAACGAUGCCUAGCCGACCUGAGAGGGUGAUAGGCCACACUGGAACUGAGACACGGUCCGGACUCCUACGGAGGGCAGAGGUAGGGAACAUUCCGCAAUGGGCGAAAGCCUGACGGAGCAACGCCGCGUGAGUAAUGAAGGUCUUCGGAUCGAAAAACUCUGUUAUUAGGGAAGCGGUACCUAAUCAGAAAGCCACGGCUAACUACGGGCCAGCAGCCGCGGUAAUAC
rnacentral:rRNA from 1 species